AGCCUUGCCGCUUGGCAAAAAAUAACAAGCAGUAACGGGUGUCGGUAGGCCGGUAACGGUUCGAAGGCUCCCAAUUAAGCAAAGCAGACCC
rnacentral:sRNA from 12 species